rnacentral:rRNA from 1 species
AUGCUAGUGAUUCAAAUCGCUUCACCGGCAGACAUACGCCUACCUGUUCGACGAAAUGCCGCAGUGACUAAAACCCUCUUGUCUUCACUUUCCUCCUACAUAUGUCCCGCAGGUGACGCGAUGCUGCGCAGCUUCCCUCAGGCCCGUCCGCUCCUCAGGAGGAUGGGGUUCGACAAGAGGGAUGCCUACUUCUUUAAGCAGAUGGGCAAGGGCAUGCUCUGCACCUACGCGCUUCUCGGCGCAGCAUGGCUCUGGAAUGACACGUCGCCGCUUGGUUGGCGGACGCUCAAGCCACGCCCCAAGGAAGAAAAAGAGAUGGCACAUCUUUAUGAGCACAGGGAGUUUCCCUACCCUGGUGAUGAAGAGGCAGUUGAGGAGUUCAUAAAAAGUGAGGGUGCUCUAGGUACCACGAUCGGGCCCAAAGGUUUGCGGAUACAAAUGUGGACUCUGAUAACAUGCAGAAGCAACUGCAGUCGAAAAAGUUCGACCAGGAGGCACAAAACCUCUGGUUCCGAAUGA